rnacentral:lncRNA from 1 species
AGUCUAGUCAGCUCUGGAUUUUGGUUUCUGAUGACAAUCUUUUUUUACCUUUCCUUUCUUUUAGCCGAUUGAAUUGCUUUCAAAGCAACUCUACACUGCGAGACCUGGUGAAGGAGCUGAGAGGUGGGGCAGUUGCUUAGAACAGGCAAGAGUCUAUGAUCGCAUAAAGUUCAACUGUCUUCUGCUCUGGCAGUGACUCUGGGAGGCAGAGCCAUGUUUGUGAUGGGAAAGUCGAGGUUCUCAAAGGGAAGUGGCUUGGAAAACUUGACUUGGGAUCGAAAUCCACAGAAAAGUCCUUUCAAACAAUGAAAUCCCCAACCAAACCCAGGAAGAGAAAUCAACUGGAUUUCCUGUGCUCACAGUGGGGUCCUUAUAAGAUUCCUUGAAGUCUUUGCUCAAGUAGGAUCCAGCCAUUUAUUCAGGACUGGGCAGCCGUGGGCACCUGCUACUGUACCAGGGCCUUUAGAGGAUGUGUGGAAGACACGAUACUGCCGUGAUCGAAGAAAGAGAAGGACCAUCCUGCCCUUUUCAGAGAUGACAGGGGCUGGAAGUGGAUCGGUUUUCUUCGGGCUUCUGCACCUCCUGGCAAGCCCCCACCAAGUAUGGGAGGGGGCAGAAGUCGCCGAGCCCCUAGUUCGAUUAAAUGAGCCAUUUGCAAUAUAAAGUGACCCCUAGACGACAUCUGGUGGUGCCUAUCAGUAAGUGCCUAAACUUUAUGUCAAACUUUACGUCCGCAUCAAGCGAUUUCACUGCUUUGUAUUGCAUUGCCAUUAAUUGCGAUCACUGCUUUUCAGACAGAUCUACCUCAUAACCAAAGCCCUCAGGGACAUCUUCUGUUUUCCCUGGCCCCAAUCCACAGCAAGGUUGCCAGAAGUCCUCUUCAGCCCUAACGACGGUGCCCGGCACAUAGUGAGCACUGAACAAAGACCAUAAAACACAAAAAUUAACCAAAGACGGAUUACAGCGCCGGUCUAGGAGCUGCAGGACGUGGGUUCGAGUUUGAGCUGUGUCACUAACCUGCCGUGCGACCGUGGGUAAGUCACUUGCUUCUCUGUACCUCAGUUUCCCCAUCUUUAAAAUGGGGAUAGUAAUACCUGCCUUCUCUCCCUACCCCUCAAGAGUUGCGGUGAGGAUGGAAAUGAACUAAAUGCGGGAGAACUUUGGCAAUAAAAGUGCUAUAGAGAAUUGGGGCCCACUCGUCUGCUGUGUGAUUGCUUGUCUGCUGAGUAACCUUGGGCAAGCCACUUCCCUUCUCUGAGCUUCAGUUAUCUCUUCUGUAUAAUGGCCUCAUU